rnacentral:rRNA from 1 species
CGUCGACCGGCGUACGGGUGAGUAACGCGUAUCCAACCUUCCCAUUACUGUGGGAUAACCUGCCGAAAGGCAGACUAAUACCGCAUAGUCUUCGAUGACGGCAUCAGAUUUGAAGUAAAGAUUUAUCGGUAAUGGAUGGGGAUGCGUCUGAUUAGCUUGUUGGUGGGGUAACGGCCCACCAAGGCAACGAUCAGUAGGGGUUCUGAGAGGAAGGUCCCCCACAUUGGAACUGAGACACGGUCCAA